GGGGUAUAGCUCAGUUGGUUAGAGCGUCGGUCUUACAAACCGAAGGUCUCAGGUUCGAAUCCCGAUGCCC
rnacentral:tRNA from 1 species